GAUGAAGAACGUAGUGAAAUGCGAUAAUUAAUGUGAAUUGCAGAAUUCAGUGAAUCAUCGAAUCUUUGAACGCACAUUGCGCCCGCUGGUAUUCCGGCGGGCAUGCCUGUUCGAGCGUCAUUUCAACCCUCAAGCCCCCGGGUUUGGUGUUGGGGAUCGGCUCUGCCCUUCUGGGCGGUGCCGCCCCCGAAAUACAUUGGCGGUCUCGCUGCAGCCUCCAUUGCGUAGUAGCUAACACCUCGCAACUGGAACGCGGCGCGGCCAUGCCGUAAAACCCCAACUUCUGAAUGUUGACCUCGGAUCAGGUAGGAAUACCCGCUGAACUUAAGCAUAUCAAUAAGCGGAGGA
rnacentral:misc_RNA from 1 species